rnacentral:rRNA from 1 species
AUUGAACGCUGGCGGCAUGCUUAACACUUGCAAGUCGAACGGCAGCAUGUUGCGUAGCAAUACGCGAUGAUGGCGAGUGGCGGACGGGUGAGUAACGCGUAGGAAUAUGCCUUAAAGAGGGGGACAACCCGAGGAAACUCGGGCUAAUACCGCGUAUAAUCGAGAGAUGAAAGUUGGGGCAACCUGACACUUUAAGAGUAGCCUGCGUCUGAUUAGCUAGUUGGUUAGGUAAAGGCUGACCAAGGCGAUGAUCAGUAGCUGGUCUGAGAGGAUGAUCAGCCACACUGGGACUGAGACACGGCCCAGACUCCUACGGGAGGCAGCAGUGGGGAAUAUUGGACAAUGGGGGCAACCCUGAUCCAGCAAUGCCGCGUGUGUGAAGAAGGCCUUCGGGUUGUAAAGCACUUUAGUUGGGGAAGAAGGGAUGUUGUUUAAGAGAUGGCAUUUUUGACGGUACCCAAAGAAUAAGCACCGGCUAACUCUGUGCCAGCAGCCGCGGUAAGAC